rnacentral:rRNA from 1 species
AUACGGAGGGUGCGAGCGUUAAUCGGAAUUACUGGGCGUAAAGCGCUCGUAGGCGGCCUAUUUAGUCAGAUGUGAAAGCCCAGGGCUCAACCUUGGAACUGCAUUUGAAACUGGUAGGCUAGAGUAUGGUAGAGGGGGGUAGAAUUUCUGGUGUAGCGGUGAAAUGCGUAGAUAUCAGAAGGAAUACCAGUGGCGAAGGCGGCCCCCUGGCCCAAUACUGACGCUGAGGUACGAAAGCGUGGGGAGCGAACGGGAUUAGAAACCCCGGUAGUCC